CGCACGGUUGUCAGCGUUCUGUCAAAGCGCUGUCGUCGGGCAGUGGAAUACGAUUGGAAGGACCCCCCACCCCCAUGACGGCCUAAUCCAACUUCUCCGAGAGAGGCGACGCUGAGCGCUCUGCCACAAGAUACCCCGUAGCAGACGACAGUGUAGCCGAUGGUGUCGCCUGCUAUCUACGCAGUAUGCCACUCCAGCCCUGUGCCCAGCCAGGUGCCCUGCGAAUGCUCAGCGUAUAAGACGCGGCUAAACUUCUGCACCGGUAGCUAUAACUGAGUGCAGCCGGUGACUGGUGGCUGGAAAGGAUUUGGCACAAUAACGGAUUGGUGGAACAUCGGUGAACCAUGGGGUUCCUGUCGCCCUGUUUCCUGUCGUCCCUCGUAAGGUACCUCGCUGCCACCACCUUCGCUUCUGUUGACAUCUCGCCAGCUGUGAGGCGUCGUCCUUAAAAAAAAAAAAAAAAAAUGACGGGGAAGCACUGCUGCCAAAGUUUCGGUUUAAAUAAAUUGUCUCGAAAUGAG